CUAGAUAAAAUAAUUUUAAUAAAUUAAUGAAAAUAAUUCAAUCUAAUCACAUUGAUUAGUAGAGUAGUUAUAAAGUUGGUUACACCAAAUUAUCAAAUAGCCAUUUGACGAUAAUGUCUGUAAAAUAAAUUAAAAACACUGAUGAUAUUUAGUAAAUUGUAAAAAAUUGAACUACAUAUUUUCACUUGGAUGUUCAAUAAUUGUCUCAAUUUUCUUUAAAGAAAACAACAAUUGUACUUUACAUGAGCUAUUCAAAAAAUUAAUAUCCAUUAACUUAUUAAAUUAUGAAAAAACAAAACAAAAAUCCGUUUUGUAAUUUUGAAAAAAAUUGUAUAAAUUAAUAUAUUUACCAUUCAGUAAAAUUGGUUGCAAGAGCAGCAAUGAAUCCUGGUAUAUUAAAUGAAAGUUCAUUAGAUGAACACAAUGCAAGGCCUACCAUUAUGGGAACUAAAGACAAACUUACUAGAAAACCUGUUUGUUCCCCUACAAAUAAUU